GUACAAUGAACACCCAAGUGAGUGAAUGAGAACAUCGAUCCUUACAGGGUUGAGGUGCUGUUCGACAAGUGACGCCUGGCUCCAUCACGGGUGGCGCCCGAACAGGGACCUGAAUACGGGGGACCAUAGUGAAGGACACCACGGAUUGUGAGCUCAGAUAAGUAAAUUAAGGGCGGUGAAUGCACUCGGGAGUAACAAGAUGGGUAUUGGUAACAGCCGAAUGCUUUUUGAGCAUAUGCUUAAAAUAUGCUUCGCGCUCGUGGAGCAAAGGACGCUGAAGGUGCCAGGUGGCUGCCUGAAAGAUGGGUCCGUUUUGCGGGAAAUUCUCCUGCCCCUUAGGAUGAUCCCGACAACUGUCCUGCUGGUAAAUCUAAUGAUGACGCUUAAUGAGAAGGUUUAUUGGACUUAUGUACCUGAUCCACCUGUUGUACAUCCAACGAGCUGAAAAAAUGGAGAAGUAAUGGUAUGGGUGAACAAUACCAGGCUGUUGGAUGAGCCGGCGGCACCUGACAAGAACGAGGUCCGAUUGUUCAACUAUACGGGAUCAGAAACCGGAACCCCCAUAUGUUUCUUCAAAAUCAACAGAACUGAUCGUAUAAGACUGAGUGCUCGCACCCUGGCAGGAAGGCAGGUAGAUCAAUGCAAAGGCGGGAUCACUGGAGUCCAUCUACAUCUACCUGUGGGUAUAGAGGCCACUGGUGUAGUGCCUCCAACUUUUAAUGCUCCAGUGGGACUGUUCCAUAGAAGAGAUGUGUGGCAGAUGCCCCUGUGAGAUAUAAUAUUACUGGAUUUGAUACUUAUGUUUUGGACUGGUCUGAAAAUUCUUGUCAUCCCAAAAGAAAUGUCACUGCACAUGUCAUGCGCUCUUAGGUAUUGCUUGUAGGAAAUAUUAGUGUUCAGAAAGAUUAUGAUUAUUAUAAUGUAAUUUACUUCAAUUGUCAAAUAAGCAAUUGUGUCACCCGAACAGAAAAUCAGAUAAGGGUUUUGCGAAUGUGUUCUUAGAUUUGGAUAUUAUAGAUCUCCAAAAUGCAGAACCCCUAAAAUUUGAUGCAGCCCAGGCUGCACAGGAUUUUAUCGAACAAAUUAGAAAAGUCCUGCCAUCUACAUCUGCAUUUACACGGUAACUCAUUUCCAUAGUAAUUAUUGGAGGAGGGAUGCCUCUUAGAUGCAUGCUCCUUCCGGCGCUACUACAGAUGUUUAUGCAUUGUUUAAUGAGGAUGGCUGGAAGUAUUCAUGGUCUACAAUUACAUGCUACACCACCUAAACCCAUGGUGUAAUUCCCUGCAGAGGCUGGUAGUCAAUGACGGGUAAGAGGAAUACAGGAAAUCACCAACCCAAGACAGAGCAAGAGUACUGUGACGCUCUUGACUCCAUGACGGGUGCUGUUCGACAAGUGACGGCGGGCUCCGUCACCCCCUAGUUGGUCCCCACAUCCCCUCCUGCCUGCUCCCCUGGGAAAUAGAAAAUUAACCUUUCCCUGGGGUCUAUUCACAUGACCUUGGUUUAGCCCAACCCAGACAGGAGGGCAGGUUCCAAAGGAGCAGAACAAAGGGGAAAACAAAGCCUUCAGGGCCCAGCAGUUUCCUCUAGGAGAGCUGGGGCUGCUGAUAGCAUCGAGUGAUUCUGCAGAGCAGAUAUGGGGAAGGAUCCCUGCUGAAGAUGGAUCCUGGUGAUCACUCUGCCAGGUCCCCCUGGGCCCCAUCUGGGCUGAGUCAGGGACUCCAGCUCCCUCUUGCUGGCUCACCACCCCAGGAAAGCAGGCAGAAGUCCUCCCAAGACAGUCCUGCCCCAACCCGUCUGGAGGAGGUGUCACUUGCUGUGAUUUAGGGGACCACUAUACCCCAAAUUACUUCUUCCCUCUCUGCUUCCUUGAAGUGGAAGGAGCUGCCAAACAUAACUUGGAAUGAAUAAUGACUGUAGCACAUCUGUCCAUGAACUGUAUGUCAGCUUAAAAUAACAAUAUAGCAGAAAUAUGUUGUCUUUGUGCUUUGUGUGAGCUAUUGCAAAACCCCAUCUGCGUCAACUUGUCCCUGUUUGAAAACAUGCUGGGUUACCCUUUCCCCUCAGAUGGGGCAGCCUGUUCCUGAAAAGAUAAGAGAACAGCCUUGAAAUUAUUUAUGUAACCCCCCCAACCUUGAAGCUAUGGAAAGGUCCCUUGCUGUUUUGCCACCCAGCUGUGUAACUGCAAUUUGAACUUCUUACUCUGUAAAUGCUAUACAAAGGAGAAGCUUUCAUAACUCAUGGUCAGUCUAUAAGGACCUGUUUCCUGAGACUGGCCAUUGCCUGGCAAUAAACUUUUCUUAUUUUCCCCAAC
rnacentral:lncRNA from 1 species